UGCCAGCAGCCGCGGUAAUACGGAGGGGGUUAGCGUUGUUCGGAAUUACUGGGCGUAAAGCGUACGUAGGCGGAUCAGAAAGUAUAGGGUGAAAUCCCGGGGCUCAACCCCGGAACUGCCUUGUAAACUCCUGGUCUUGAGUUCGAGAGAGGUGAGUGGAAUUCCGAGUGUAGAGGUGAAAUUCGUAGAUAUUCGGAGAAACACCAGUGGCGAAGGCGACUCACUGGCACAUUUCUGACGCUGAGGCGCGAAAGCGUGGGGAGCAAACAGGAUUAGAUA
rnacentral:rRNA from 1 species